AAGGAAUCUUCGGCAAUGGGCGCAAGCCUGACCGAGCAACGCCGCGUGGAGGACGACGGCCUUCGGGUUGUAAACUCCUUUUAGGGGGGACGAACCGGACUGUACCCCCUGAAUAAGCCCCGGCUAACUCUGUGCCAGCAGCCGCGGUAAUACAGAGGGGGCAAGCGUUGUCCGGAUUUACUGGGCGUACAGCGCGCGCAGGCGGUUACGUAUGGGAGCGGUGACAGCCGCGGGCUCAACCCGCGGCGGCCCGCUUACACAGCGUGACUGGAGGCAGGGAGAGGGAUGUGGAAUACCCGGUGGAGCGGUGAAAUGCGUAGAGAUCGGGUGGAACACCAGCGGCGAAGGCGGCAUCCUGGCCCUGACCUGACGCUGAGGCGCGAUAGCGUGGGGAGCAAA
rnacentral:rRNA from 1 species